CCUUAGUAACGGCGAGUGAAGCGGUAAAAGCUCAAAUUUGAAAUCUGGUACUUUCAGUGCCCGAGUUGUAAUUUGUAGAAUUUGUCUUUGAUUAGGUCCUUGUCUAUGUUCCUUGGAACAGGACGUCAUAGAGGGUGAGAAUCCCGUUUGGCGAGGAUACCUUUUCUCUGUAAGACUUUUUCGAAGAGUCGAGUUGUUUGGGAAUGCAGCUCAAAGUGGGUGGUAAAUUCCAUCUAAAGCUAAAUAUUGGCGAGAGACCGAUAGCGAACAAGUACAGUGAUGGAAAGAUGAAAAGAACUUUGAAAAGAGAGUGAAAAAGUACGUGAAAUUGUUGAAAGGGAAGGGCAUUUGAUCAGACAUGGUGUUUUUUGCAUGCACUCGCCUCUCGUGGGCUUGGGCCUCUCAAAAAUUUCACUGGGCCAACAUCAAUUCUGGCAGCAGGAUAAAUCAUUAAGAAUGUAGCUACUUCGGUAGUGUUAUAGCUUUUUGGAAUACUGUUAGCCGGGAUUGAGGACUGCGCUUCGGCAAGGAUGUUGGCAUAAUGGUUAAAUGCCGC
rnacentral:rRNA from 1 species